CUGGAAACAGAAAGGGGCAACUCUUAAAGACAGGCUGUACUUCAACAAUCUCAAGUUAUACUUGCCCAAGAACAUAUACUCAGCAGUGGUCCAGUGGGCCUACGGAGCAUCUGUCCAGAACCCUCAUGAACUCUUUUGAUCAAUAAAUACUCUGAAGUACCAGGAAUUGAAUCUCUGACCAACAGUUACUGUAAAUCUUGUGCCAUUUGUGCCAAGGGCAACUCAAGAAGAAUGGAUGAAAGCCCCAAGCAUCUAGCCAAACCUCAUUAUCUCUUCCAGAGGAGUCAAGUCGCCAGAAUGCCAAAGAAUGGCUGAUUCAAAUAUGCACUAAUUAUAGCAGACAUGUUUUCAGGAUGGCCAGAGGCCUAUCCAGCCACCAAAGUGAUAACCAAGACCACAUGCUGAGUAGUGCAC